GUGGGGAAUAUUGGACAAUGGGCGCAAGCCUGAUCCAGCCAUGCCGCGUGAGUGAUGAAGGCCUUAGGGUUGUAAAGCUCUUUCGCCGGGGACGAUGAUGACGGUACCCGGAGAAGAAGCCCCGGCUAACUUCGUGCCAGCAGCCGCGGUAAUACGAAGGGGGCUAGCGUUGUUCGGAAUUACUGGGCGUAAAGCGCGCGUAGGCGGUCAGCCAAGUCAGGGGUGAAAGCCCGGGGCUCAACCUCGGAACUGCCCUUGAGACUGGUUGACUUGAGUAUGGAAGAGGGUCGUGGAAUUCCCAGUGUAGAGGUGAAAUUCGUAGAUAUUGGGAAGAACACCAGUGGCGAAGGCGGCGACCUGGUCCAUUACUGACGCUGAGGUGCGACAGCGUGGGGAGCAAACAGGAUUAGAAACCCGGGUAGUCC
rnacentral:rRNA from 1 species